rnacentral:tRNA from 1 species
GGGGCUGUAGCUCAGCGGUAGAGCACUCACCUAGCAUGUGUGAGGCCCUGGGUUUGAUCCUCAGCACCACA